rnacentral:rRNA from 1 species
CGUGUAGGCGGCUGAAUAAGUCAGAUGUGAAAUCCCUGGGCUUAACCCAGGAAGUGCAUUUGAAACUAUUCAGCUUGAGUAGGGGAGAGGAAAGUGGAAUUCCUGGUGUAGAGGUGAAAUUCGUAGAUAUCAGGAGGAACACCGGUGGCGAAGGCGACUUUCUGGCCCUAUACUGACGCUGAGACGCGAGAGCGUGGGUAGCAAACA